GGAAAUCAUUUUUCAAUUUUUCUUUAGGAAAAAAUACCCAGGGGAUCACCAUAUCAAUUCUGACUGUCUUGAUGAGGCAGGGUCAUCAAAACAUUCAGAAUUCCAAUAUUGUAGUAUUUUCAUGAUUUUGUUUUUUUCCUGCUGGACACUCCAGCCUAGUCAUCAUAUCCACUCAAUAAUUCUGUUUCUUCUCCAAGAUGGCCUUUGUUUUCUAUUUCCAUUUCAGAAAGAUCUCAUGGUAGAGCAAUGUGCCACUGAGCCCAAUAUCGUUCUUCCUCAAGUCCAAAUAUCUCAGAAUUUGGGUGAGCAGGAGCUUGGAAGCCAUACUCUCGCAGCAGACAGAGCUGUAAGAAGAUCCCUAGUGCAUAGAGGAAGCUCAGAAGAACCUGAGAUCUUGUACCUGUCACAAGAGACCCUCUUUCAUCUCUUCUAUCAACCCGACUCAAGUAACUGGAGAAAUAAACUUAAGUUGUAGCUAUUAAAAAAAAAGUUGUAGCUAUUGAUACACUUGUUAUAGCUAUUAAUACACUUGUCUGCAUGACCUUGUAUUAAAAAUAAU
rnacentral:lncRNA from 1 species